rnacentral:snoRNA from 1 species
AUCCUCUAGGUUCCUUAUGCAUUAGACAUAAACACUGGUAUUAGUGGUUUAAAAAGGAGGAAAAGUAAAAUUGAAAUUGACAAAUUCUUUUGUGACACACGUGCUGGUUCCAAGCAAAC